CAGUGUUCUAAUUUCUUUAAAUAUAUGUGUAUUAUUUAUACAGUUUCUCCUGAUUCUUGCAGGGUUACAUGGGAUGGCUGAUAUAACCUACUGUAUCCUACGUGCCAGCAGAAGGCAUCUCCUGGGAUACUAAAGUUUGGAGUCCCUUUUGACUUAAGGGCCAUUGGCCUUCAGGUAUGAUGCUCAUUUUGUCAUCCUGCGAGGCUCACAGAGACCUAAAGCGUGGAACACAUCUCAACAUGUACUGAAUAAGUUGGAAAAGGGGAGGACCAAACUGGAAGUGUUGGACUGGUUUGCAGGUGACAUGUACCUUUACCAAUUCAUUUCUCUGAGUACUAAUUUUCUCCAGCUAAUGGGGGCAGGAUGUAUUGAUGUCUGAGAAAGCAAAUCCCCCCAUGCUCCAGCCUGCCUUUUGUUCUGUAGGACAAAUGUUUUGCAUAACAAAAGUGUUUUAUGUAUUAACCAGUAUCUAUUUGUAAAAAUAGGAUAUAAUGAAAUGAACAUAUAUCUUGGAAGUAACAGAUCCUAGGUUUAAAUCGAAUCUCUACCAUAGCCUAUGAUCUUAAAAAAUACUUAACUUCUCUGCACCUCAUUUUCUCUUCUUAAAUACAGGGUAACAAUAUUUACCUCAUGGUAUGCUUAAAUGAAAUAAUGCAUGUCACUAGCCUGGUCUGUAUGUAAGGUAGGAAAUAAGUAAUAAAGUCUCUAAAACCUAAGGAUUCUAAGAUGCC
rnacentral:lncRNA from 1 species